AGUGUUCGAUAAGUCAUAACGACUCUCGGCAACGGAUAUCUCGGCUCUCGCAUCGAUGAAGAACGUAGCGAAAUGCGAUACGUGGUGUGAAUUGCAGGAUCCCGUGAACCAUCGAGUUUUUGAACGCAAGUUGCGCCCGAAGCCAUUCGGCUGA
rnacentral:rRNA from 1 species